CAAUAGCGUAUAUUAAAGUUGUUGCGGUUAAAAAGCUCGUAGUUGGAUUUCUGCUGAGGACGAUCGGUCCGCCCACUGGGUGAGUAUCUGGCUCGGCCUUGGCAUCUUCUUGGAGAACGUUGCUGCACUUGACUGUGUGGUGCGGUAUCCAGGACUUUUACUUUGAGGAAAUUAGAGUGUUUCAAGCAGGCGCACGCCUUGAAUACAUUAGCAUGGAAUAAUAAGAUAGGACCUUGGUUCUAUUUUGUUGGUUUCUAGAGCUGAGGUAAUGAUUAAUAGGGAUAGUUGGGGGCAUUCGUAUUCAACUGUCAGAGGUGAAAUUCUUGGAUUUGUUGAAGACGAUCUACUGCGAAAGCAUUUGCCAGGGAUGUUUUCAUUGA
rnacentral:rRNA from 1 species